UUCCAGACUCCUACGGGAGGCAGCAGUGGGGAAUAUUGCACAAUGGGGGAAACCCUGAUGCAGCGACGCCGCGUGAGUGAAGAAGUAUUUCGGUAUGUAAAGCUCUAUUAGCAGGGAAGAAAAUGACGGUACCUGACUAAGAAGCCCCGGCUAACUACGUGCCAGCAGCCGCGGUAAUACGUAGGGGGCAAGCGUUAUCCGGAUUUACUGGGUGUAAAGGGAGCGUAGGUGGCAUGGUAAGCCAGAAGUGAAACCCCAGGGCUCAACUCUGCGGAUUGCUUUUGGAACUAUCAAGCUAGAGUGCUGGAGGGGUAAGCGGAAUUCCUAGUGUAGCGGUGAAAUGCGUAGAUAUUAGGAGGAACACCAGUGGCGAAGGCGACUUUCUGGACUGUACCUGACGCUGAGGCGCGAAAGCGUGGGUAGCGAACGGGAUUAGAUACCCUCGUA
rnacentral:rRNA from 1 species